rnacentral:rRNA from 1 species
UGCUAGCAGSCMCGSUAAUUYMAGCUCCAAUAGCGUAUAUUAAAGUUGUUGCAGUUAAAAAGCUCGUAGUUGAAUUUCGGGGUCAGUAGAUUGGUCGUGCCACGGGUAUGUACUGGUCUUACUGGCUCCUCCUUCCUGAUGAACCGUAAUGCCAUUAAUUUGGUGUUGCGGGGAGACUGGACUGUUACUUUGAAAAAAUUAGAGUGUUUAAAGCAGGCUAACGCUUGAAUACAUUAGCGUGGAAUAAUGAAAUAGGACGUUCGAUCUUAUUUUGUUGGUUUCUAGGAUUGACGUAAUGAUUAAUAGGGAUAGUUGGGGGCAUUAGUACUCAAUUGUCAGGGGUGAAAUUCUUGGAUUUAUUGAAGACUAACUACUGCGAAAGCAUUUGCCAAGGAUGUUAUCAUUAAUCAAGAACGAAAGUUAGGGGAUCGAAGACGAUCAGAUACCGUCGUAGUCUUAACCAUAAACUAUGCCGACUAGGGAUCGGAUGAUGUUAAUUUWKUMMYGACUCAUUCGGCGCCUUCCGGGAAAACAA